AUGGACAUUUUCAUACCAGCACUAACUGCUCUUUUUUCUCUCUACUACGUUUCAAAAAAUGACUCCGCGUUCAUUUCUCUCUACCUCCUAUCCUCAAUCUCGCCGCGCAUCCUCUCCACGCACAUCGAACACCCGAUAAUUUCUCUCCGCGCCCAUUGAACGCCCGGCGCAAUCUCCUUCUUCCUCCAGUCCUCCCCUGCCCUAAAACUCCCCUCCUUCGUCUCUUCGAAAAUAUCGAUGGUGAAACUCUCCUCCUUCCCAGCCCUCCCCUGUCCUAAAUCUCCCCUCCUUCAUCUCUUCAAAGAUAUCGACGGCGAAACCCUCCUCCUUCCCCAGUGAAGGAUUUAGCCAACGAAACCAGCUGAUUUGUGAAGCUGCUCGGUUCACCCCAAGGUAGCUGCCGAUAUACAUCUCGACUCUCCGUGGCACAUAGUUUGCACCUUUCAAAGAAGGUAGGUAUUUCAUGACAUCAUCAAGUUACAGCUCCAUCGAUAAUACAAAAUUUGAAUAUGUACCAUGCAGGGGGUGCAGAUGAAAAACAUUGGUAUAUAUUUCUAGAUCGACUAAAAAUCCCGGAAGGAGGUAUUAUGGAUGUGGACAACAUGGCUAACAAAAAUGGGUGACAGCCAAUACUUUGUUUGAGGAAAACAGCAGUGAAAUAUGUCAUGGAAGGUUAGGAAGAAUAGAGCCAUAGUUAGGAAGUGAACACCUUGCUUCUUGUGGACAUAAUCUAGAAAAUUGGAAUGUACCAUCAGGUCUGGAUAUUAGUUAUAGUGAAUUUAACUUUUUUGGUCGUGUACUUUAUUACUUUGUUAGUUCGGUCUUGAAAUUAGUGUUGAGUAAUGUUGUUGUUAUAAUAUGACAAGUUAAAUUUUUAUGAGAAUUAGCUGAAGGUUAAUUGGUUUAUUAGUUCAAGUGGUUAAUUAGUAUGGACUAAUGUUGAUGUUGUAAUGUGAUAGGAUAAUUAGUUUUUAGUUAAGUUGGAUGAUGCGGAACAUGUUAAAUAAUGGUUUGAACCUUUUGUAAUGAUUUAUUCUGUGUUAUUCUUAUUUCGAGACUUAGUUCUCAUAUCUGAUACUUCUUAGUCAAGUAAGAAUGUGAGUCUGAUGUUGAUUGUUUUCUGCUGUUUGCAUCUUUCUAAUUUGCAUCUUUAUCUUCAUGUGGAUAUGUUCACUUUGGAUUUCUAGUGUGCAUCUUUCAUGUGGUAGGAUGAUGCGAUGUUGGAAAUGCUUGGCUCCAGAGCAAGAAAAGGAUAUCAGUAGGCUAAUCACGCGGCUGGUGUUGCCAGAGGAAGCUUGAUGGAGCUGAUGAAGUGGAAGUCAGAAGGAUUGGAUCCUUUUUAUGCACAAGCAGUUCAGGUGAAGCAGCAUGACCCCUUGACAGGGAAGAUGAAGAUUGCCAAUCCACAGAGCCAUAGGUUGGUGUGGGAGACCUGCUUGAGUGAGUUCAAGUGCCUCCUAAAAGUGGUCGUGAGGCUCAUCUUCCUUCAUGCCACUUCGUACGGAAUCAACCGUGAUUCAUCGCUGAUCCAGUGGAUGCAUUUGCAUUCUCAAUCAGAGGUUGCAAGGAAGAUAGCUUUUAUAACUGCUCAUUCAAAGAUUGCAAAGAUGAAUUUCUCAAGUGAAACAAUGCGGAUCCUUAUUA